rnacentral:rRNA from 1 species
CUCAAAGGAAUUGACGGGGCCCGCACAAGCGGUGAUUAUGUGGAUUAAUUCGAUGCAACGCGAAAAACCUUACCUGGCCUUGACAUGUACGGAACUUUCCAGAGAUGGAUUGGUGCCCGAAAGGGAACCGUAACACAGGUGCUGCAUGGCUGUCGUCAGCUCGUGUCGUGAGAUGUUGGGUUAAGUCCCGCAACGAGCGCAACCCUUGCCAUUAAUUGCCAUCAUUUAGUUGGGCACUUUAAUGGGACUGCCGGUGACAAACCGGAGGAAGGUGGGGAUGACGUCAAGUCCUCAUGGCCCUUAUGGCCAGGGCUUCACACGUAAUACAAUGGUCGGUACAGAGGGUUGCCAACCCGCGAGGGGGAGCCAAUCCCAGAAAGCCGAUCGUAGUCCGGAUUGCAGUCUGCAACUCGACUGCAUGAAGUCGGAAUCGCUAGUAAUCGCGGAUCAGCAUGUCGCGGUGAAUACGUUCCUGGGCCUUGUACACACCGCCCGUCACACCAUGGGAGUGGGUUCCACCAGAAGUAGGUAGUCUAACCGCAAGGAGGACGCUUACCACGGUGGGGUUCAUGACUGGGGUGAAGUCGUAACAAGGUAUCCGUA